UUAAUACCCCUGCCCCUCAGCAACAGACACAGGAUCAUUAACCUCAGAGAAACAGACUAGAGCUUGUUUCACAGCUCAUCACAGACGCACCAACCGCAGGAAAAUCCGAGCCUCUGAGCAGCCUGCUCAGCUGCUGAGAGACAGGGCAGAAUCAGGUUAUCUGAAAUCACAGUGUGAAUGUUUGACCUUUCUGCCCGGAGCAAUGGAAUGGCAGAUAUUCUCAAUCCUUUCCGCCUGGGAGAGGUAGAAGUAAAGGUGCCAGAGCUUCAGGAUGACUGAUGAAGGACUGUCCACAGCAACUGAUUACCCCAGAACCACUUCCCCUCUCGGAUUAGCACACUGGAAAGAGUACCAGCCGAGUCCGGGACCUGGAGCGCCUGGUCCCG